GACACCUCCUCCGUUCUUCACGCCUCCUUUGACCCCUACUCCGCCUCCGUUUCCUCCACCUGCGCCCCCGCUCCUCCAGCACCCUCGCCGCUCCUCUAUUUCAACGACUGUAGAGAGAAGAUUGGGGUGGGAGUGGAUGGAGAGGUGGGUGAGGGUUAGGCGGCAGAGGAGGGAGAGGGUGAGGCGACGAAGAAGGGCGAGGGUGUGUGUGGGUACGGACAGAGGGAUGGGUGAGGGCGGGGCGACGGAGGAGAGCGAGGUGGCACGGCCGAGGACGUUGGUGAGGAAGGAGGAGACGCAUUUGAAAUGAGGAUUUCAAAGAUAUUUUGGGUAUAAAAAAAAAUAAUAAUAAGAUAUAAACGGAACCCUAAUGAAACACUAACGGUAGGGUCGAAGUGAACAUUUCUUAAUUUUUAAGAGUGCAAAAUAUAGUUUUUCAAAAGUUUGGGGGAAAAGUGAAAAGCGAGUAUCGACAUAGAGUUUUUUGUAAUUUAACCUAAAAAAUUAUAUUUAUUUGUUCGUCAGCAGCGUUUGGUUAGGGGAUAGGAAUAGGAAUAGGCCCUUAUCCUCCUCUUUAUAUCCAAACGCUAAUUUUUUACCCGAGAAUAGUAGUUCUCGGUUAUCCCCACCAACACCUCCAUUUUCUAUAUAAAACUAUCUAAAAUUGUUUUUAUCCCCGGGAAUAACCCAAUUUUCAUCCAAACACUAUUUUUCUUAUCCCCAUACUUAUACAUAUCCCUGUAAUAGCUAGUUCUUGCUUAUACCCGAACCAAACGGAAUAUACUAUAUUUAUAGUUUCAGUUAAUUAUAUAUUAUGAUUAACAUGGACCCGUAUGAUAUUGAUUAAAAAAAAAAACCUGCAUACGCAAAAAAACUACGUUCCUAAAUUGAAUCAUAAACAAAAAUCGAGUUAAAUUUCAAUGAAAAAAAAAUUUAUUAGCCCUGCAUGACACUACACAAUUAUUUAUAAUUAGAUAUAACUAAGAAUAAAUUAGUCCAAAAUUUUUAAUUGAUGUACUGGAGGGAAUUGUUGAUAUAAUUCAUUAAUUUAUAGGGGCGAAAAUGAUAUUAACAAUUUUGAAGAGGUAUCUAUGAUAUUUAAUAACUUUUGAGUAAAACUGUCCAAAAUAUCCGAUAUUUCAUAUCCGACCCAGACACUACCCGAACCCGAACUGGACCUGAUAAAAAAUAAAUAGUAUACAAGUAAAAAAAAUAAAAUUACCCAUUAACGUUUCGGGUAUGGGUCCGAAUAUUUUAUACCCAUAAUCAACUUGGACCUAAUCUGAACCCGACCUUUUAAUGGAUAGGGUUCGCCAGAGUUUUCAAAUCCGGACCCAUAUUCAGGCCCGAACCCAAACUUGUACUCAGACCUAGUGAAGUACCUAAUAAUAAAUAAAAAGAUUUAAAGUUGAGGGAUUAAUUUUAAUAGGACUUAUAGAUAAAGGGUCUCUGUGUAUUUGCAUCCUCUUGAAACUCCAGUCGUGUUGUUUACUCCUUUUUUAUUUUUUUAUUUUCCUCCUUACUUUUUUUAACCCUAACCGUUUAGUUUACUUCUUGAAUUUUUCUUUUUAAUGAAUUUUAUCAAACUGGGUGCAACUCAUUGGAAUGCAUGUUUUCUAUAGUGAGAGAUUUAUGAUUUGUCUAUAAAUUAUUUAAUAAAGUCUAUAAAAUAUAUAAGCAUACAGAUACCUAUACCCGAUUUGGGCCCGACCCGUACCUGACUCGUACCCGGUCUUCAACGGGUAGUAUACGGGUAAUCACUAUUCAAACCGGCUCAAAAAGAUCCGAUGGGUAUAUUAUUAACUUAAGUAUCCAGAUCUGAAUUCGGCCUGAAGUUAAAUGGUUAGGGUAUAUAUAUUUUUUUACUCCUUUUUUUUUAGGGUACAGAUAUAGUAUAUCAACUAUCCAGUUCCGACCCGGUCAAAUGACACUUAUUUUUUAGAGGCACGAUUGAAAU
rnacentral:lncRNA from 1 species